rnacentral:rRNA from 1 species
AAUAGAUACCCGGGUAGUCCACGCCGUAAACGAUGGAUACUAGCUGUCCGGCGGCAACGCUGGGCGGCCCAGCGAAAGUGAUAAGUAUCCCACCUGGGGAGUACGUCCGCAAGGAUGAAACUCAAAGGAAUUGACGGGGGCCCGCACAAGCGGUGGAGCAUGUGGUUUAAUUCGAUGAUACGCGAGGAACCUUACCAGGGCUUGAAUGCGGACCGACAGACUUGGAGACAGGUUUUUCUUCGGACGGACCGCAAGGUGCUGCAUGGUUGUCGUCAGCUCGUGCCGUGAGGUGUCAGGUUAAGUCCUAUAACGAGCGCAACCCCUGCCGUUAGUUGCCAGCAUGUAAUGAUGGGGACUCUAACGGGCUGCCGGUGCAAACCGCGAGGAAGGUGGGGACGACGUCAAAUCAUCACGGCCCUUACGCCCUGGGCCACACACGUGCUACAAUGGCCGGUACAGAGGGCUGCCACGCCGCAAGGCGGAGCGAAUCCUCAAAGCCGGUCACAGUUCGGAUCGGGGCCUGCAACGUCGG